rnacentral:rRNA from 1 species
AUGGAUGUCAACCUCUUCAGGAUGGCUCCUCCAACACACACGACUCUGAAUCCUGAUCCGCCACCACCACCUCCACCUCCAGAGGCAUGGCAAGCUGUGAUGGCCGCUACCAAUGCAAACACGCAGCUGAUCAUGCAACUUCUUCAAGAGCUCAACCAAGGGAACCAAGGUCAUGGCAACAAUCAGAAUCAGUUUGCUACACUCAACCAGUUCCUUGCUAACCAGCCAAAGACCUUCAGCAAUUGUGUUGAGGCAACAUACACUGAUGAUUGGCUCGUGGACAUAUGCAAGCAUUUCGAGUGCAGUAACAUCAGGCCUGAGGACUUUGUCCAGUUCACUUCCUUCCAACUCAAAGACCAAGCUGCAGAAUGGUUUCAGCAGUACAAAGAUUCUAGAGGAGGCUGUGUGAUUACCUGGGAUGAAUUCCGUCAAGACUUCAAAGCUCAUCAUAUUACUCAGAGCGUGGAUGAAAGCAAGCGUGAGGAAUUCCGCAACCUGAAGCAAGGCUCUAUGUCUGUUUACGAGUACAACAAAAUGUUUCAGAAGCUCGCCCGUUUUGCUAAGCAAGACGUCCCGAACGAGAAGAUCAUGAUAUACCAGUUCAGGGGUGGUCUCAGAGAGAAAUCCAGCUAG